CGAGGGCCCCGCCCACAAGCCCACAGCUCCAAGGCUUGCUGUCAGGGAGGCGGGAAGCAGGAAGUGUGUCCGGGUUUCCACCCCAGCAGGCCUUGCCUCUUCCCCUGCGGCGGGUUAAGGGGUGGAGGCCGUGCCACGGAGCAUCAUUUCUGUUGGUUUUUCUCGCCUUUUCCCAAAGAGGAAAAAAAAGGGGGCUUUGCAGGCUAAAGGGGCUGGGGCGCGAAGAGCUACCCUCCAGGGAUGUUCCUGCCCUUAGGAGGGCAGAGAGGAGGGGAAACGAGGUCAGUUCCGAUAGUACCGCUGCGGGGUCUCGCUGAGACUUUAGAGAUGUCCCCCAAAAUCGCUUCUUCGGGCAACUUCAAAAUCCACCUAGCCACUCCACCUGGAGAGCAACGGGCACCUCAAACUUAACAUAUCUGAACCACGCUCCCGGCCCAACUCACCAAAACAAAAACUGUGCUCCAUCAGUCUUGGCCAUCUCAGUGGCUACUCCAUUCUUUCACGUGCUCAGGACAACACCGUGGAGUCGUCCCUGCCUUCUCCGUUCAAACACCACAGCCAGUCGGUCAAAAAAUCGUGUUGUCCUGUCUUCAAAAUAAAUCUCUAAUCCCACCCCACCUGUCCCUGCUCUGGCCUGAUGCACUUGUGUGAUUGAUCACACUGGCCUCCCUGCUGCCACCCAGCACCUGCACAGUCCAGCGGAAACACUGCAGCCAGCGUUUCAAUCCUUUGAAGUCUGAGAUCGUUUUGCUACUCUGCUUAGCACUUUCUGAUGGUUCCUCGUGUCGCUCAAGCUAAAAGCUCUGCUUGAUUUGCCCCUAACCUCACUUCCUUCUGUUCUCACCUUGCUUGCUCUGCUCCAGCUAAACUAGCCUCCUUGCUAUCCUUGAAAAAGCUGGCCACACUCAUGCCUUUGGCCUUGCUCUCCCUCCAAACGUUUCGGCUCUCUUCCUCACCUUUCUCUCACCUUGCCUUCAAGUCUUUGCUUAGGUAGCAUCCUCUCAAAGAAACAUACUCUGACCACCCUAUUGAAAAAUGCACUUGUUGGGAUGAGCACUGGGUCUUGUAUGUAAGCCAAUUUGACAAUAAAUUAUAUUAAAAUGUUUUUAAUAAAAUUAAAAAUUAAAAACUAAAAGCAACCUCCCCACCACUCCUAAUCCCCCUUACUCUGCUAUAUUUUUUUCAUAGUGCUUAUCACCUUUUACUACAAUAAAAAUGUACUUGUGUGUAUUGUCUUCUGUCCCCUCUUCUCCACACACAAAAGUGCACACACACACACAACAUAGCCAUCAAUGCAGGGACUGUAUCUGUAUUGUUUAAUGAAUGACAAUCCCUGACAUGUAGUAGGUUCUCAUUGUCUAUUUUCUGCAUGAAUGAAUGUCCCUAGAAUGUACAGUCCUCAAGGGUAAGGGACCCUCGUGCUCAGAACAGCACCUGGCACAGAGUCAGCACUUAGGAAAUAUUUGCUAAGUGAAAGUGACCACGGUUUUAAAAGGUGACCUGUACUGGUUGCUUUGACCUUCAGGGAAGACCUAAUACCCCUAUAUCAAAUAGGUUCUGCUGCCUGUAAGAACUUAAAGUUCUGGUUCUUAUUCAAUACGCAUGUAGACAAGCUAAAUCAGGCCCUGUAGAAAAAGUAUGAAAGAACUAAAAGAUGUGGUGCCUUGAAAGGCAGCAGACAGCUGUUCCAUUUCCCCAAAUUUCUAGAGCCAAAAAGAGAGAGAUUGUAAAUAAAAUGACUGGUUCCAGACCACAUCUGAUAGAUGGUGGCAAAGAUCAAGUUGUAAGAGAAAAAAGGAAAUGUCAGAGAGACAGAUAAAUGGGACAUAAAAGAAACAGGUAUUUCGUAAUCACAUCGUCUGGGAGGAGUCUGCUCAGAAUUUACAGCAUCUGGCUUUGGAGGAGAAAGAGAAAUACUUGGUGUUCCCUGGACUGGAUUUGAGUUCCGGUUUGCUGGAGAAAAAGGCACCCCUCCCCCUUUGAAACUUCUGGGACAAACUCCGAGAGAGGUCGUUGAGUUGAAUCAUCACAAAAGGUGAGAACACUGAGGUCACAGCAGGUUCUUCUGACUCUUCGGUCCCCACAUGUUUGAAGAGAUGGACGAGUCCUAACAUUUACUGAGUGCUAUGAGCCUGGCCGACAACAACCCAAUGAGGGAUAUUUGGACACAGAACACCAAGUGAAAAUGAAGGCAGAGAUCAGGGUGGUGCAUCUCCAUACAAGCCAAAGAUUGCCCGCAAACCACCGGGAGCUAGGAGAGAGUCAAGGAACGGAUUCUCUUUCACGACACUCAGAAGAGACCAACCCUGCUUUGAUCUUCAAGUUCCAGCCUCCGCAACUGUGAGACCACAACGUUCUGUUUGAGGCAUUCAGUCUGUGGUACUUUGUGACAAAAGCCCCAGGAAACAAUACAGACUAGAGACUUCAACCAACCGUCUGCCAAGAUAACAGGGGGCUCAGAAACCAAAGAAGUUAUAGCUACUGUUUGAAGACAGCUCUUUUCCAUGUGAUGAUUCAGAAACUCAGGCGCCUUCCAGCUUGUGGCUGUACUAUCCCCAAGGGUCCAGGACCUCAUCAUUAUUCUUCCCUUCCAGACACAACUUCCCAUUUGCACCCUUCAUCCCGCACAGAGAGCCUACACCCACGUCCUCCUUAAGGAAAAUAACCCAGAGCUCCAUUCAGUCUCUACAACCACUUGAAAUUCUGGGACUCUGGAGAACACAACGUCUCUUCAAUCAGAUCUACAUGUGGUUCCUGAUGGUCCAACAAUUAUUAACUAAAAGACCUAGUUAUUUGCUCCUCCAAUCCACAUCUGCUAUGCCAUGGAAGAACAGGGACUUGAGGACUGCAAUAAAACUCUCAUUCAGAAAAUGGGAGAAUGGGAAAGAGUCCUUGGUUAAUAGCACAAUGGAAUCUUGCUAGGUGGGCAGUGUGAAGGCCCUUUGCCAGGUAAGAGGGGAUAAAACGCCUUGCUUAGUCCUUUAAUCUGCUCUCUGGGAGGGUUUCAUUAUCUAUUUUUCUCUAAGGCCCCUUGCUCCAUCCUUUUGGAUAUCCUUCCUUGUCCAUUAUCCUUUUGGGCCACUUCCGAAGUAUACUCCUGAAAGACUGUACAGCCUUCCUAGCCCACUUUCUUCUCAGGCAAAUCUAGGAACAAAGGGCAAGCUUGACCAAUCAAAGAUGAUUUCAUCCCAGCUUGUGACUCCUUAGUAAUACAAUUCCCUACAAAACUUAGUAAUCUUCUGAUUUAUUUGCUUCCACUGGAUUCCAAGUGCCAGUAACCACACCCUAAAUUUUUUCCUGGACAUAAUUCUGAAGCCUAAAUUAUUUUUUUCCCCCUGUCCAUAGCUUUCUCUCAACUUAAUGGCAGCUACCUUGAGGUCAUCUGAAUGAUAGACUCGGGUGGAAAGACUACACCCUUAAUGAGUUUUGCUACAGGGGCUG